CCUGAAAUCAGUUUGUGAUUGGUUAUUAAAGUGUAAAAAUAAUCAUCUUACUAGGUUUAUAAUAGAGGUGGCAGUCCUGGGAUGCUCCAUCCUAUGGAAUUAUUUCUCCAUGAGCAAAAGUUUGGGGAAAACAGUUUUUCCUUACCCCAAGAGUACUCAGCUGGAAACUUUCAGAUAAUGGUGGCCAUAACUAACAUGCUUUGAGUUGUGAUGAGCCAGCAGUGCUCAUGGGGAGCAAGUUUGAUUCUGUUCCUUUUGCCAUCAGUUUUCUGAAUAUUUACCAAAGGCCCAAGAAUGCCCCUUGAAUGCCCCAGGUGUGUCCUGCAAAGUUCCUUUUCAGUUGCAUCAUCCCAUCUGAUGGCAUCUGCAGUCACAGCCAAGCCAAAGCUUGUGCUGCCUAACAGUAUGGGUGCCAGAAGCUGAGCUUUAAGCUCCGGGCUUCUGCUCCUUCCAGAUCUGGCCAACAAAGCUGUUUGUCCAUGGUGUCUCUCAGACCCGUGUUUCAGUGCUGACACGAGGGACGUGCAGGCGAAAUCUGCUUGUGGGAAACGUGCACAAUGAGUACUUGACCAUUUACCACAACCAUGCAACCAAUUCCUUACCCACCGUAUCAUCCACCCAUCGAAUCCAUCUCUCUCCAACUCAGAGAUGAGGGCACGGCAUGGGAUUGUGUGAAAGGCCUUGCAGAAGGUCAAGGCCAGACUGGAUGGGUCCCUGGGCAGCCUGGUCUAGUAUUAGAUAUGGAGGUUGGUGGCCCUGCCUGUGGUGGGGGGUUGGAGCUUGGUGAUCCUUGAGGUCAUUUCCAAUCCAGGCAAUUCUGUGAUGCUGUGAUGUGGAAUUUCUUAGCCUACGUGUCUGCAGACAGAUGGUGCCGUGUUGGCUUCAUAAUUUGCCAGCCUAAUUAAAGUAAUGAAUUAACAACAGGAAUUGCAUGAAAAUGGAGCACUUGUUAAUUGAAUAGCCCUGGGUUCGGCUCCCAUUGUAUGCUUCCAACAAGGUGCUUGUGUGAUCCCUUCUAUUGAAUUUGCUUAAAAUAAACCUUCAUGCUAGUUUGAUGUCUUGGUAGGAAAGAAAACACCCAAUGGGCAAGGCCUGGAGGAUUUCAAUGGCAUUAUUGCUUCAGGACAGACAGAAAAAACAAAAAGAACAUGGAAAGUAAAACCUGAGUGACCCAUUCAUGGCUAGGAAAUCAUUAGGCACACAAUGUAUUGUAUAGAUCACUGUAAAACCACCCGACACGAGUGAAACAGGAAAUCUAUAGUAGUUAAAAUUGAGCCUUCAGUUAACCCCACCAAAAAUCUUCUAUUUUUCUGUGUUAUCAAAGUUAGUUCAAUAUUUGCUUUAUAUACAUCCUGUUCCGGACUUUGAUUCCUCUAUAUAGCACACCUUCCUGCCUUCUAAUCUCUGAUUUAUUACAUAACCGUUUUUCUUCCGAAGCUUUUGCUUUGCUUUAACUCUUUAUCUUGUCAGCCUUGGAGCUGCUUCUGCCCUAACCCAGCGUAGGGCCCGGAGGCUUCGUGCCUGCUGAUGCUCCAAAGCUUCACUGCAACAUGAGGAGAUGGGGAGGAAGCGCCAUCCUUGAGGUCAGAAGGGAUGUCAGCGGCAGACAGGGAAGGUCCCAGAGACAGGCUGCUAUCUGUGCUUGAACUGUUUGCUGCCUGUCACAGCAAAAAUGAUAUUGUUUGGAUGGGAGGUCCUGGAUCUCCUCUCCAGCUGAUUUCUGUCAACUCAAGGAAGAAAUGUGACAGAGUGCAGCCAUUCCCCAAGCCCAACAGAGCAGGACGAGGUGCCAUCUUAGCGUGUCCUUCCAGGAAGCUAAAUCCAUCAUCCACCCCCAAGCUGUGUCUCUUUUCAUGGAGAGCUGUAUCAGCAGAGAUGCCCUCCACCACCCGGCAAACCUUCAGAACCUCCUGAGAAUGGUUUUCCAAGCACAAAACCCCUUCUGCUGCCAGGAGUUGGACUCAGCGAUCCAUAUGGGUCCUUUCUAACUUGGGAUAUUCUAUGGCUCUACUGGAUCCCACUCCCAAGCUGACUCUACUGAGUGUAUGAGGGGAAAGCCACUGUGAUAAAUCUGUGUGAAAGCACCUGAGAGACCUCAAGAUGUGCCUGGAGUCGCAUGGAGCUGCAGGUUCCUGAAUGGAAGCCCUUCCCCAGCUGAGCAGAGCAUAGCCAGGCCAUCAGCAGAGGUUACUCUCCAUUAUCCUCCCAAGGGUACGCAAAAAGAAGGUACAGGGGAGAGGAUGAGAAAAGCCACCACAGAGGACAAGACAUUGAGUUCUUUUGCCCCUGGUGCAUCUCAGAGCGCUUCCCAGACGCUGGCAUACCGCGAUGCGUUCUCCAACCCACUAUCCUCAAGGU
rnacentral:lncRNA from 1 species